AUGAACGUUGGCGGCGUGGAUUAGGCAUGCAAGUCGAGCGAGAACCGUAGCAAUACGGGGACAGCGGCGAAAGGGAGAGUAACACGUGGAUACCUACCCUCGGGUUCAGGAUAGCUGCGGGAAACUGCAGGUAAUACUGAAUAACAUCUCCGGAUCAAAGGUGUGAUUCCGCCCGGGGAGGGGUCCGCGUCCUAUUAGCUAGUUGGCGAGGUAACGGCUCACCAAGGCGAAGAUGGGUAUGGGGUGUGAGAGCAUGCCCCCACUCACUGGGACUGAGACACUGCCCAGACACCUACGGGUGGCUGCAGUCGAGAAUCUUCGGCAAUGGGGGAAACCCUGACCGAGCGACGCCGCGUGCGAGAUGAAGGCCUUCGGGUUGUAAAUCGCUGUCAGAGGGGAGGAAAUGUCGGUGGGUUCUCCCAUCGGUUUGACCUAUCCUCAGAGGAAGGACGGGCUAAGUUCGU
rnacentral:rRNA from 1 species